AGGAGGUUAUCAUAAAAAAUUGAGUGUAAUUUCGGCUUACUUCGUGCCUUAGGCACCUUCUA
rnacentral:tRNA from 1 species